UUUUUGGCGCAGGAUUUGCAUGGAGUGUAGAAGAAGGUUCGUGGAAGGAGAAAGUUCGAGAAUAGCGUGAAUUUGAAGAAGAAAGCGUAUUUUUAUGGAGAUAUUUAGAGAUUAGGCUUGGAGUAAAUUAUUUUACAUUUAAUUAAGUCCAAAACUCUUUUUUUUUUUUUUUUUUUGAGGAAUUUAAGUCCAAAACUCUUACUUCUAAUUUUUUUGGAGCUUAUUGAAAAGGCCGAAAAGCCCAUGUCUUUGGGUUGGACGACACCUUAGGGAUUCUUUUAAUCCUUUAGUUGGGAAC
rnacentral:lncRNA from 1 species